GGAAAUCAGCAGCUCGAGGCUCGCCAACUCACCCCACCAGUGUCACGCUCGCCUUCGGAGGGCUCUCCAGUUAAAGAACUGCCUCACAGGCAAAGCCUUCAAGGAGUAAAUGAAGCAAAGGCUCAAGAGCACUCAGACGGGCAAUCCAUCUUCAAAGACGUAAUGCCAACCAUUGAGAAGCUGCUUAAUGCUGACUGGAUGGAGAAACUUCUGGAUAAAAACACAGUAGGAACAGG